rnacentral:lncRNA from 1 species
UUUUUUUAAUUUAGUUGUGAAAGAAUGCUUAUGAAAAUAGAAACAGAAAUGAACUUUAAAUUGAAAUUAUUAUUGCUUGACUUGAAUGAACACCAAUAUGAUGUAUUUAUACACAAAUAGACCAACUAGUUAUGAAAACUGUUUAACAGAAGUAGCUGUAAUAGACUAACAGUUCACAGCUUCUAAUAUUCACCUAACUAUCCCAAUUUCAAAACUCAAAGAAGGUGUCAAAGGCUACAAAAUUGAGAAGUAGAUAAUGGCUUAGUAAGAACAUCGACAACCUGGUCACACAGGCAGGAACCUCGCCAACCACAAGAGAACCAUUUGUGACCUUCUCCCGAACAAAGAACAAGUCAAGCUCAACAUGUUGAAAUUUCGGAUGAAGAACAGGAUUUGUCGCAACUGCAACAUCACUAGAGUUAUCACACCAAAUGGUCAGUGUAUCAACAGACUCACACCCAAGUUCUUUCAACAAAGAUUCUAACCAUGUAACGUCAGCAGCAGCAGCAGCUGCAGCUAACCCACGAUAUUCGGCUUCAGCCAUGGAUCGAGACACGACUUGUUGCUUAUUGGAACACCACGAGACAGGAUUGCCGCCAAAAAACACAUAGUAUCCGGUGGUGGAGCGGCAAUCAUCAAAAUCGUGCCCCCAAUUCGCAUCUGCAUAGCCCACCAGAGAUAACCUAACAGAUGGUCGUACAAUUAAACCAUAGUCGACAGUGGCACAGAGAUAGCGCAAGAUGCGUUUUAGAACAACAAAGUGGACACCGGUUGGAGUAUGCAUAAACUGACAGAUGCGGUUAACAGCAUAAGUGAUGUUAGGGCGAGUGAGAACAACAUACUGUAACACGCCCGCAAGACUACGAUACUCUCGAGGAUCAUCAAACGGAGUGCCAUCAGUCUUAGAUAGAGAAGAGGAACUAAUCAUGGGUGUUGGAACACCUUUGGCUUGAAUCAUACGACACCUAUCAAGAAGAUCGAGAAUGUAUUUCCCUUGACAUAAGUAGAGCUCCCCCCAGCAGAAGAACGAUGCACUUCAACACCUAAAAAAUAAUGAAGUGGCCCCAAAUCUUUGAGCCAAAUGCAAAGACAGGAGGGCCAUCAACAGAACGAUCAAAACGAUAGUAGCAUCUUUGAGCCAGAAGCCCAAUCAUUCCGCAAAUCUGAUACUGAGGUUGGCCACGAUUGCCUCGGCAAUAACCAUGAAACGACCCACGAUUUCCAAGAGAAAAUGAGCCCGCGACACUAGAACCAGACGGUGAACUCACUAAAACCCUCAAUACCGAACCAGAUGGUGAAGAUUGCUGGACCAGAUUGGCUUGGGGAAAAAUCUCUGUCACAAAUUGUUUUUGUCUGCUUUCACAUUCUAACAAGAUUUCCAUAAGAUGAUCUAACGCUAGGGGUUCCGGUGAAAAUGAUGUCACAACGGAGUCAAAAUCUUACGACAGGCCUGCAAGAAUGAUGUUCAUAUGUUCUUUAAGUGAUACAAGAUGACCAGAAGUAGCAAGUAAGUCACAAAGUUUCUUGAUUUGACCCAGGUAUUCUUUUACAAACAAGUGGCCUUUCUUGAUCGAAUGGAACUCGUGUUUAAGGCGAGAAACUUUGGCACUAGACAUUGCUCCAAAAAGAUGACAUGCUUUGCUCCAGACAUCAUGAGCCGUAGCAGUACUUGUAAAACAGGACAAAAGAUCUCCACUGAUUGUAGAUAAGAGCCAUGAAGCAAGCAAUUUGUCUUGCUGUUGAAAUGAAAGAAACGCAGAAUUAAGAACCAACUUCCCUUCAGCAUCUUUGACAAAUCUAGAUGGAGAAGAGACUAUCCUAUGUAUAUAAUCAGUAAGCCCAUAGGCUUCGAUAAUAAGCGUCAGCUAAUGUUGCCACUGGACGAACGUUUUGUCUGUAAGUUUAACGGUGUCAUCGGGCACAACAAAAACGGCCCAGGUAACUAACUAGCGACUGAUGCCAUGAAAGAAUGCUUAUGAAAAUAGAAACAGAAAUGAACUUUAAACUGAAAUUAUUAUUGCUUGACUUGAAUGAACAUUAAUAUGAUGUAUUUAUACACAAAUAGAACAACUAGUUAUAAAAAUUGUUUAACAAAAGUAGUUGUAAUAGGC